CCUACGGGUGGCAGCAGUGGGGAAUAUUGCACAAUGGGGGGAACCCUGAUGCAGUGACGCCGCGUGAGUGAAGAAGUAUUUCGGUACGUAAAGCUCUAUCAGCAGGGAAGAAAAAAGGACGGUACCUGAGUAAGAAGCCCCGGCUAACUACGUGCCAGCAGCCGCGGUAAUACGUAGGGGGCAAGCGUUAUCCGGAAUUACUGGGUGUAAAGGGAGCGUAGACGGCAAUGCAAGUCCGGAGUGGAAUGCGGCAGCUCAACUGCCGAACUGCUCUGGAAACUGUAUGGCUUGAGUGCAGGAGGGGCAAAUGGAAUUCCUAGUGUAGCGGUGGAAUGCGUAGAUAUUAGGAGGAACACCAGUGGCGAAGGCGAUUUGCUGGACUGUAACUGACACUGAGGCACGAAAGCGUGGGGAGCAAACAGGAUUAGAUACCCCUGUAGUC
rnacentral:rRNA from 1 species